GAAUAAAUAAAAAGAAUAAGAAAAAAUACUGGAAUUCUUCAUUUUUUAAAAAUUUAUCUCAUUGAAAUAAUAAAAAAUGAAGAAUGGGUUUAGUUGGUUAAAUUCAAAAAGUUAAUCAAAUAACUUCGUUACCUAGUUAUUAUCUAAAUAAAGAUAUUUACAAAAAAAAAAAAAGGAAUCGUUUUACUUUUUACUUUCUAUUCAUUUUUAUAUUUCUUUAAAACAAAGAUGAAACAGCUCUCUUGUUCCAUAACUGAUUGAGUGAAUUCCAAUGAAAAUCUAUGUUUAUAAGAAAUUAUCGAAUAGUCCUUAUGACUAUAAAUUACCUAAGUUUUAGAAUGUCUUGUUUAAGAGACUCAGUAUUUUUUGUUUUGAUUAGAAUUCCUUUCCUUUAUGGAAUACAAUACAAUAUCAUUCUGAGCUUAAUUAACUAUUUGAAUUUUCCCUUCUUUUUAUCCCCCCGGGGGAUAGGCUUCCAUACCA
rnacentral:lncRNA from 1 species